CCUACGGGGGGCAGCAGUGGGGAAUAUUGGGCAAUGGGCGCAAGCCUGACCCAGCAAAGCAGCGUGAAGGAAGAAGGCUUUCGGGUUGGAAACUUCUUUUCACAGGGACGAAGAACGUGACGGGAGCGGAGGACUAAGCCAUGGCUAACUACGUGCCAGCAGCCGCGGUAAUACGGAGGUGGCAAGAGUUCUCCGGAUGUAUGGGGUGUAAAGGGCGUGUAGGCGGGAGGGUAAGUCAGAUGGGAAAACUAAGGGCUCAACCCUGAGCCUGCAUUUGAAACUGUGUUUCUUGAGUGCUGGGGAGGCAAUCGGAAUUCCGGGUGUAGCGGUGAAAUGCUUAGAUAUACGGAGGAACACCAGUGGCGAAGGCGGAUUGCUGGACAGCAACUGACGCUGAGGCGCGAAAGCGUGGGGAGCAAACAGGAUUAGAUACCCUUGUAGUC
rnacentral:rRNA from 1 species